CCCGCACAAGCGGCGGAGUAUGCGGAUUAAUUCGAUGCAACGCGAAGAACCUUACCAAGGCUUGACAUACACCGGUAACGCCCAGAGAUGGGUGCCCCUUUGUGGUCGGUGGACAGGUGGUGCAUGGUUGUCGUCAGCUCGUGUCGUGAGAUGUUGGGUUAAGUCCCGCAACGAGCGCAACCCUCGUCCUAUGUUGCCAGCGGGUCAUGCCGGGGACUCAUGGGAGACUGCCGGGGUCAACUCGGAGGAAGGUGGGGAUGACGUCAAAUCAUCAUGCCCCUUAUGUCUUGGGCUUCACGCAUGCUACAAUGGCCGGUACAAAGGGCUGCGAUACCGCGAGGUGGAGCGAAUCCCAGAAAGCCGGUCUCAGUUCGGAUUGGGGUCUGCAACUCGACCCCAUGAAGUCGGAGUCGCUAGUAAUCGCAGAUCAGCAACGCUGCGGUGAAUACGUUCCCGGGCCUU
rnacentral:rRNA from 1 species